CUCUAGUCCCCUCCAGCCCCAGCCCUCAGUGGAUCAUCUGCAAGUUCAGGGUCUGGAGAACGUAGGAAAUCCUGGGGCUGAGCAGGAGGAGGUGGCAGCAGCCAGUACAGGGGUUCAGCCCUCACUGGAGAUGGAGAUGGUGCUGGCAGAAGGUGGCAGAAGAGGCAGAGAGCAGAGCCCAGCCUCUCUGGGCUGCAGGAGGAGCAGGGGACAGGAGUGAGCUGUGGUUCUUCAGCACCAGCUCCUCAGAUACCACUUUUUAUGAAGCACUACAUGAGUUGCUGAUGGAUAAAUCACCCAAGCAUGGUUAAAGAGACCCUAAUCUCCAGAUGGUACCAGAUCCAUUUAAUUGUAUCCUCUGACCUCAUCUCACCUGAG
rnacentral:lncRNA from 12 species